rnacentral:rRNA from 1 species
GAUUAGGUAGUUGGUAGGGUAAGGGCCUACCAAGCCAAUGAAUCGGGUAGCCGGCCUGAGAGGGUGAACGGCCACAUUGGAACUGAGAGACGGUCCAAACUCCUACGGGAGGCAGCAGUGGGGAAUAUUGGGCAAUGGGCGGAAGCCUGACCCAGCAACGCCGCGUGAGGGAAGAAGGUUUUCGGAUUGUAAACCUCUGUUCUUGGGGAAGAGGAGGAGACGGUACCCAAGGAGGAAGCCCCGGCUAACUACGUGCCAGCAGCCGCGGUAAUACGUAGGGGGCGAGCGUUGUCCGGAAUGAUUGGGCGUAAAGGGCGCGCAGGCGGCCUGUCAAGUCAGUAGUGGAAGUCCAUUUUUCAAGGAUGGAAGUGCUAUAGAAACUGAUGGGCUAGAGUGCAGGAGAGGUUAUCGGAAUUCCCGGUGUAGCGGUGAAAUGCGUAGAGAUCGGGAGGAACACCAGUGGCGAAGGCGGGUAACUGGACUUCAACUGACGCUGAGGCGCGAAAGUGUGGGGAGCAAACAGGAUUAGAUACCCUGGUAGUCCACACUGUAA